rnacentral:rRNA from 1 species
GAGCUAGCGUAUCUAGCUUGUAUUCAGCCGCUCUGGCCUGGGUGCCCUGUCUGCUGGUCCGGAAUCGGCCAGUUGGCGGGUGUCUCCCUAGUCUUGGCGGUGCACUUGCAAGUGGAGUGCGCUGAGGCCUGUGGGUUAGCGGUUGGAAGUGCGCCUUGAGGAUACCCUUCGGGGUAAACCCCGGGCGUGCCUAAGACUGUUUGGCCUGCUUGUACAAUGAGCGAGGCCAACGGGUUUGGCUGGGGCUGAGUUGGUUGCCGGUUACGGUCGCAUGCGACACGUGCUUGUGGCUGGUUUGGUCUGGGUCUGGCUCCCUCGCUCGCCCUCGGUGUAAAAGCUAGUCAUCUAUCCGACCCGUCUUGAAACACGGACCAAGGAGUUUAGCGUAUACGCGAGUCAUUGAGUGAAAAACUCAAAGGCGCAAUGAAAGUAAAGGCAUCCCUUGUGGAGCUGAUAUGCGACCUCGGGUGCUUCGGUGCCCGGGAGCAGCAUAGCCCCGUCCCGAUCGCUUGCGAUGGGGCGGAGGUAGAGCGUGUUCGCUGAGACCCGAAAGAUGGUGAACUAUUCCUGAGCAGGAUGAAGCCAGUGGAAA